CCUAAGGUAGCGAAAUUCCUUGUCGGGUAAGUUCCGACCCGCACGAAAGGCGUAACGAUUUGGGCACUGUCUCAACGAGGGGCCCGGUGAAAUUGAAAUACCUGUGAAGAUGCAGGUUACCCGCGACUGGACAGAAAGACCCCAUGGAGCUUCACUGCAGCUUGAGAUUGAAUCCCGGUGACAGAUGCACAGGAUAGGUGGGAGGCGCCGAAGCAUUGCCCUAGGGCGGUGCGGAGCCGAUGUUGGGAUACCACCCUUCUGUUGCUGAGAUUCUAACGCGAGGAGUAACGACCCUGCGGACCCUCUCAGGCAGGCGGUUUGACUGGGGCGGUCGCCUCCGAAAGAGUAACGGAGGCGCCCAAAGGUUCCCUCAGGCCGGACAGAAACCGGCCGAAGAGUGCAAAGGCAGAAGGGAGCUUGACUGCGAGACCAACAAGUCGAGCAGAGACGAAAGUCGGGCUUAGUGAUCCGGUGGUACUGAGUGGAAAGGCCAUCGCUCAACGGAUAAAAGCUACCCUGGGGAUAACAGGCUAAUCUCUCCCAAGAGUCCAUAUCGACGGGGAGGUUUGGCACCUCGAUGUCGGCUCAUCACAUCCUGGGGCUGGAGUAGGUCCCAAGGGUUGGGCUGUUCGCCCAUUAAAGUGGUACGCGAGCUGGGUUCAAAACGUCGUGAGACAGUUUGGUUCAUAUCCAUCGCGGGCGCAAGAAGUUUGAGGGAAGCUGCUCCUAGUACGAGAGGACCGGAGUGGACGGAUCAACGGUGUACCGGUUGUCACGCCAGUGGCACGGCCGGAAAGCCGCAUCCGGAAGGGAUAAACGCUGAAAGCAUCUAAGCGUGAAGCCCCGCCCAAGAUGAGACUUCUCAUCAGCAAUGAGUAAGACCCCUUACAGACGAUGAGGUAGAUAGGUUAUGAGUGGAAGAGCCGCAAGGCUUGGAGCGACAUAAAACUAAUAGGUCGAGGUCUUAACUUA
rnacentral:rRNA from 1 species